rnacentral:lncRNA from 1 species
GGUUGGUUUCUCCUAAGUUCUGUGUACAAAGUGAUGAAAGAAAAUGAUAAACUCAGGGAUUCUAACUUUCAGUUUCAGAAGCAGAUACUGAGCCUCAAAUCUGCUAAGAUUGCCUCGAGAGUUUUAUUUCCUGCACAGAAAGAGCUGAAAUUGCAGACAAACAGACACAGACUCUUACCAUGAGAGUGGCUGACCUGCAAUGAAAGGUGCAUGCACAGCCUCGCCAGGUGUCUACUGUUAAAAAGAAGCAGCUUCCCCAUCUCCAGUAGUGGAAACACCUGCUUGCCGACUCAUGCUGCCAUCAACCUUUCCACCUUUUUCUGAGGAGAUAAACUCUGUGCUUCCUAAGCACUGUUCCUUCCUGCCACCUUGUGAAGAAGGUGCCUUGCUUCCUCUUCACCUUCCGCCAUGAUUGUAAAUUUCCUG